CGUAGGUGGCAAGCGUUAUCCGGAUUUACUGGGUGUAAAGGGCGCGUAGGCGGGACUGCAAGUCAGAUGUGAAAUGUGAGGGCUUAACCCUCAAGCUGCAUUUGAAACUGUGGUUCUUGAGUAUCGGAGAGGCAGGCGGAAUUCCUAGUGUAGCGGUGAAAUGCGUAGAUAUUAGGAGGAACACCAGUGGCGAAGGCGGCCUGCUGGACGACAACUGACGCUGAGGCGCGAAAGCGUGGGGAGCAAACAGGAUUAGAUACCCUGGUAGUCCACGCUGUAAACGAUGAAUACUAGGUGUGGGGGGACUAACCCCCUCCGUGCCGCAGUUAACACAAUAAGUAUUCCACCUGGGGAGUACGGCCGCAAGGUUG
rnacentral:rRNA from 1 species